rnacentral:rRNA from 1 species
GCCUGAUCCAGCCAUACCGCGUGGGUGAAGAAGGCCUUCGGGUUGUAAAGCCCUUUUGUUGGGAAAGAAAAGCAGUCGAUUAAUACUCGGUUGUUCUGACGGUACCCAAAGAAUAAGCACCGGCUAACUUCGUGCCAGCAGCCGCGGUAAUACGAAGGGUGCAAGCGUUACUCGGAAUUACUGGGCGUAAAGCGUGCGUAGGUGGUUGUUUAAGUCUGUUGUGAAAGCCCUGGGCUCAACCUGGGAAUUGCAGUGGAUACUGGGCGACUAGAGUGUGGUAGAGGGUAGUGGAAUUCCCGGUGUAGCAGUGAAAUGCGUAGAGAUCGGGAGGAACAUCCAUGGCGAAGGCAGCUACCUGGACCAACACUGACACUGAGGCACGAAAGCGUGGGGAGCAAACAGGAUUAGAUACCCUGGUAGUCCACGCCCUAAACGAUGCGAACUGGAUGUUGGGUGCAAUUUGGCACGCAGUAUCGAAGCUAACGCGUUAAGUUCGCCGCCUGGGGAGUACGGUCGCAAGACUGAAACUCAAAGGAAUUGACGGGGGCCCGCACAAGCGGUGGAGUAUGUGGUUUAAUUCGAUGCAACGCGAAGAACCUUACCUGGUCUUGACAUGUCGAGAACUUUUCCAGAGAU